AACGAACGCUGGCGGCGUGCCUAACACAUGCAAGUCGAACGAGAUCUUCAGGUCUAGUGGCGCACGGGUGCGUAACGCGUGGGAAUCUGCCCUUUGGUUCGGAAUAACAGUUGGAAACGACUGCUAAUACUGGAUGAUGACGAAAGUCCAAAGAUUUAUCGCCAGAGGAUGAGCCCGCGUAGGAUUAGCUAGUUGGUGUGGUAAAGGCGCACCAAGGCGACGAUCCUUAGCUGGUCUGAGAGGAUGAUCAGCCACACUGGGACUGAGACACGGCCCAGACUCCUACGGGAGGCAGCAGUGGGGAAUAUUGGACAAUGGGCGAAAGCCUGAUCCAGCAAUGCCGCGCGAGUGAUGAAGGCCUUAGGGUUGUAAGCUCUUUUACCCGGGAUGAUAAUGACAGUACCGGGAGAAUAAGCUCCGGCUAACUCCGUGCCAGCCGCCGCCGUAA
rnacentral:rRNA from 1 species